rnacentral:rRNA from 1 species
UCAGUGGCGGACGGGUGAGUAACACGUAAGAAUUUACCUUUAGGAGGGGGAUAACAACUGGAAACGGUUGCUAAUACCCCAUAGGCUUUCGAGUGAAAUGGAUUUUUCCGCCUAGAGAGAAGCUUGCGGCUGAUUAGCUUGUUGGUGAGGUAAUGGCUUACCAAGGCGACGAUCAGUAUCUGGUUUGAGAGGACGAUCAGACACACUGGAACUGAGACACGGUCCAGACUCCUACGGGAGGCAGCAGUGGGGAAUUUUCCGCAAUGGGCGAAAGCCUGACGGAGCAAUCUCGCGUGAGGGAUGACGGCCUAUGGGUUGUAAACCUCUUUUUUCAGGGAGGAACAAAAUGACGUGUACCUGAAGAAUAAGCAUCGGCUAACUCCGUGCCAGCAGCCGCGGUAAGACGGAGGAUGCAAGUGUUAUCCGGAAUCACUGGGCGUAAAGCGUCUGUAGGUGGUUUACUAAGUCAACUGUUAAAUCUUGAAGCUCAACUUCAAAAUCGCAGUCGAAACUAGUAGACUAGAGUAUAGUAGGGGUAAAGGGAAUUUCCAGUGGAGCGGUGAAAUGCGUAGAGAUUGGAAAGAACACCGAUGGCGAAGGCACUUUACUGGGCUAUUACUGACACACAGAGACGAAAGCUAGGGUAGCAAAUGGGAUUAGAUACCCCAGUAGUCCUAGCCGUAAACAAUGGAUACUAGAUGUUGAACAGAUCGACCUGUGCAGU